rnacentral:misc_RNA from 1 species
AUGUCGACCACGAACCCGCUGUUCCAGCCAUUCCGGCACAAAUCGCUUUCACUGCCCAAUCGCGUGGUGAUGGCGCCGAUGACGCGCUCUAAGAGCCCGGACGGGACCCCCGGUGAGGAUGUCGCGACCUACUAUCGCCGCCGCGCGGAGGGCGGCGUCGGGUUGAUCAUCACCGAAGGAACCACGGUCGAUCGCGCAGGCGCAU